UUCGCGACGGCCCUGGCUCUUGGCAACUGUAGUCUGUAGCUCAGUGUCAUGGCGCUGUACCGGAAUCGCAGGGCUACAAGUUCGAUUAGGAGUGCAAAGAAUUUCUCUUCGGUGCCAGUGCAUAGUUAAUUAACGGUCCCUCACCGCUAACAUUUUAUUAAGAGGCAAUAUUACCGUUUACUCGAAUUUAGAACUCUGCGAUUUAACAUUGUUGUUAAGUUGUGCAAGUGUAGUCGAUGAACAUCGAUAGACAUAUAGACAUAGUAUUAAUAAAAAAGUCAUAUUCGUCGUAGCAAAGUAGCUCAAGUAUAUCAGUGUAUCAUAGAAAUCUGACAAGUGUAUUGAAUAUGUACUGCCUAUGUAACUUUAAUAAAAAUUUCUCAA